GAGCCUCAGGAAGCUCGCGCCCUCUGCCAGGGGGAGGAGCCUGGCCCGUCCUCCUCCUGUGCGGAAUUGCGAUUCAAACAGCCACCUCGGAAACGCUCUAGCUGGGGACUCUGGCCUUGUGGAGGAUCCCUGUUUCCCCUUCCCCCGCUUUUACCCAUGAAAAUCUGGCUUUACUCACCCUUUAAACUGUCUGAAAGCCUACAUGUUCAUGGCUGCGGGACAGACGAGAACCCCAUCUUUACCUGAACUGAGAAGUCAUGCAACAUUUUUGGCGCAAGGUGGGCUCCAGAAGCGGUUUGGUUAAUUGAAGAGUACAGAUGUGCGCAGCACCAGGCUUGACAAGGGCAGUGGUUACAGCUUGUGUUCCAGCUUUGCAUCCUAGAACCAGUUGCUUCCAAAUCUUGGCUGUCAUGGAUACUGCUGCAGAAAUCAUGGGAGUGCAAAUAUCUCUGGCAUACUUGAUUUCCAGUCUUUUGGGUAAAUAUCAAGCAGUGGAAUUACUGG